rnacentral:lncRNA from 1 species
CCCGAUAUGGCAUUCCCCGGGAUAAAUAAUAUGAGCUUCUGACUUCUCCCUCCAUCUUUUCUACUCCUACUUGCGUCUUCAGUGGUCGAAGCCAGUGCUGGAACUGGCUGGACAGUUUAUCCCCCCUUAGCAAAAAACCUAGCACAUGCACAAGCCUCUGUGGAUCUGACCAUCUUCACGUUCCACUGUCUCUUCCAUUUUAGGGGCCAUUAACUUUAUUACCAGAAUAAUUAACAUAAAACCUCCAGCUUUGUCCCAAUAUCAAACACCCCUUUUCGUCUGGUAAGUCCUUAUUAUGGCGGUCCUUCUACUCCUUUCCCUUCCCAUUUUAU